AACUGAAAACCACCAUUCAAAUGGAUCAAAGAACAGACAGAAUGGCAAAGACUUAGACAAAGAUCAGCUGCAGGGGGAUCAGAGAAGGUCUGAAGUUACCUGUGAGUGCUGUAACAACUAGAAGACAUCUAUGUGAAGACAAGCUAUGGACAAGAGACCCCACAAAGUCCCACUGUGGAAAACAAUGUGCUUAAGAGGUUAGAGACAAAGAACACAUUGACUGGACUAAAGAAAAAUGGAGCAACAUUUUGUGGACUGACGAAAGAAAGACUGUUUUGGGUCGAGGGGCCACAGACAGUUUGUCAGAUGACUCCCCCAAAAACUGAAUUCAAGCCACAGUCCACUGUGAAGACAGUGAAGCCUGAUGGAGCAUCACGAUAUGGAGAGGUUUCUCACACUAUGGUGUCGGGUCUAUUGAUCACAUACCAGGGACCAUGGAUCAGUUUGAACACAUCAGAAUAUUUGAAGAGGUCAAAUCUCUUUAUGCCAAAGAGG